CUUGGAAAUAAGAGAGCCUGGAUUCUCCUGGUCUUUGAUCUGUUUCCAAUUUCCCACAUGACCCUCAGCAAAUUUCAGAGUCCUUCUGAACCUUAGCUUCCUUGUAGUUAAAAUGAGGGUUUGCAACCAACUCAGGGAUACUUAACCACAAGGGCCAUGACCCCUAUGGAUGUCCAUCUUAUCUUAUCGUGGGGUAGUUAGCUUUCAAAUUUUAAAAUGUUUUUUACUCCAAAAAAGGUUAAGAAACAUUGGUUUAGGUUAACUUUAAAGUCUCAUAUGCCUCUGAUAAUCUGUGUUUGUAUAAAAGGAAGGCCCAUGUACUGGUCAAGGUUAGAUAUGCUUGCAUGUAACAGAGACCCCAAAUGACAGUAUCUUAAACAAGUUGU
rnacentral:lncRNA from 10 species